UGACUAGCCACGUCCAG
rnacentral:rRNA from 1 species